UAUAAAUGUGGCAGCACACAUAAGUAGUGCAUUUGGGGACUGUCCUUGAGCUGCAGUGAAACCAUGGCAAAGCGUUGGAGUGCCAACUCUUUGGUGGGACAAGUACUGCUAAUCUGCUUAGUUGGGACAAAUGUAGAGGUUUUGGGCCAGAUGGCAAAGAAUACACCACCAAUCAGACGUCCGAAUCAACCAGGUUUGCAACCGACCGUUACUCAACAGAAUCCCCAGAUCCAACCGGAUGUCAAGCCAAGCUAUCCUGGACAGAAUCCACAGACAAAUUUCCAACCAGGUGGCAAUCCAAGCUAUCCUGGACAGAAUCCACAGACAAAUUUCCAACCAGGUGGCAAUCCAAGCUAUCCUGGACUGAAUCCACAGACAAAUUUCCAACCAGGUGGCAGGCCAAGCUAUCCUGGACAGAAUCCACAGACAAAUGUCCAACCAGGUGGCAAUCCAAGCUAUCCUGGACAGAAUCCACAGACAAAUGUCCAACCGGGUGGCAAGCCAAGCUAUCCUGGACAGAAUCCACAGACAAAUUUCCAACCGGGUGGCAGGCCAAGCUAUCCUGGACAGAAUCCACAGACAAAUUUCCAACCAGGUGGCAGGCCAAGCUAUCCUGGACAGAAUCCACAGACAAAUUUCCAACCAGGUGGCAGGCCAAGCUAUCCUGGACAGAAUCCACAGACAAAUUUCCAACCAGGUGGCAACCCAAGCUAUCCUGGACAGAAUCCACAGACAAAUGUCCAACCAGGUUCACAGUCAAGCUAUACUCAGAAUCGUCGACCAACAACCUUCCAACCAACUCCAAUGCAAAAACUAUAUCAUGAUAGCAAUUCCCAGAUGUCAGGACCACGUAAACCUCAACAGCCUCAACAGGAACCAAAGUAUCCAAUGUAUCCACAGCCUCCACAGGUACCAAAGUAUCCAACGCAUCCACAAACUCCACAGGAACCAAAGAAUCCAAUGCUUCCACAAAUUCCACAGGAACCAAAGAAUCCACAGCCUCCACAGGUACCAAAGCAUCCAAUGCUUCCACAAAUUCCACAGGAACCAAAGAAUCCACAGCCUCCACAGGUACCAAAGUAUCCAAUGUUUCCACAAAUUCCACAGGAACCAACGCAUCCACAAACUCAACAGAAUCCAAAGAAUCCACAGCUUCCAAAGCGUCGACUGCCUUCACAACAAGUUAAGGUGCCAGAGACACCUGUGGUGCAGUUUUGUGGAGUGGAACACAAUGUGAGAAUCCAAUGUGGCGGUCAUGAUAUCUCUGCUGCUGGAUGUGAAGCAAUAGACUGUUGCUUUGCUGACCACCAGUGCUUCUACGGAAAAGCAGUGACUGUCCAGGCUACAAAGGAUGCCCAGUUCAUUGUUGUAGUGGCCAAAGAUGCAACUCUGCCCAACUUGGACAUCGACACAAUUUCACUGAUUGGGGAGGGUCGAUCAUGUACAGCUGUUGACUCUAAUUCAGAAUUUGUUAUCUUCCAAUUCGCUGUCACUGAUUGUGGCUCUGUUGUUAGGGAGGAGCCUGGUGUUAUAACCUAUACGAACUGGAUGACAUCCUCAUAUGAAGUAGGAUUUGGGCCUAGUGGAAGCAUUACCAGGGACAGCAUCUUUGAAUUGCUCUUCCAGGCUAGGUACACGGGCACCUCCAUUGAAACUGUGAUUAUAGAAGUAUUUCCAUUACAAGAUCCUCCUCUACCAGUUGCUGCUCUGGGACCCAUUAGAGUACAACUGAGGUUGGCUAAUGGAGAAUGCUCAUCUAAGGGCUGUAAUGAAGUUGAAGCAGCCUAUAACUCUUUCUAUACGGAGGCCGACUACCCUGUGACCAAAGUACUGCGGGAUCCAGUGUACGUGGAGGUUCAGCUCAUUGAAAAGACGGAUCCAAACCUUGUCCUGACUCUUGGUCGCUGUUGGGUAACUAAUUCCCCCAAUAGUCACCAUCUGCCUCAGUGGGACCUUCUGAUAGAUGGGUGUCCCUACAGCGAUGAUCGCUACUUGUCCUCACUGGUUCCAGUCGGUCCCUCCUCUGGUCUGCCCUUCCCAACUCACUACAGGCGUUUCAUUUUCAAAAUGUUUACCUUUGUGGACAGCCACUCACUAGAGCCCCUGAAGGAGGAGGUGUACAUUCACUGUAGUACAACUGUGUGCACUCCUGGAGAAGGCCGCGUCUGUGAGCCCUCAUGCCACAGGACAAAGAGAGAGGCCGAAGCAUCCCACCAGACAAGGAGUGAGCAAAAAUUGGUGGUUACGGUUGGACCUGUGACCAUGGUUGACCACUCACGUUCGGACACCAGUUAAUGUUUCAUCUGGAGCAUUAAGAUGGUUCAGUUAUGCUAAAAACUAAAAAACAAAGUCUGCAACAGGAAGAAUGAAAUGAAUCACCAAAGUCUUGUAACCAAAUAUGUAUCAGGCCCAGGGACCAUGUGUUGUGUCUAAAACUGCAUAAUAGUCUAGCUUGCAGUACUUAGGUUGUCCAUUAGAUAUCCCUACCAGCAUAAGUCUUUAGCAGGGGUCGGCAACCUUUACUUACUUAUUUUGCCCCCUCUUCCCCCAAAUAAAAUGUGUCUGGAGCCGUAAAACAUAUUUGAUAACAAAGCUAAUAAAGUUUAAUAUAAAGUUAUACUAUACUAAACUAUAGUUUGUUGCAUUUACGAAAUUAUAGAACGACAAUAAAGAAAACUCUUGACAUUU